AAACCUGCUGAGUAAAAAACAGACGAAAAUAAAACCAUACAAUCAAGAUUAUCCAUAUCAUUAUGUAUGUCAAUGGUACUCCUUUGCGAUAGGUAGAAACUCCAAGCAAUGUAAAAUAUGGCCCAGACCAUGUUUACCAGCAUGAACAUUAGACUUCAAAAAGUAGCGAACCAUUUAAUGGUUUUAGUAAAUUUAUACAGAAAAAGCAAGCAUUAUACCGCCCAGCAUAAAUAAAAGUCAACGUUAUUA